AGUGAACGCUGGCGGCGUGCUUAACACAUGCAAGUCGAACGAGAACGGAUUAUAGCUUGCUAUAAUUGUCAGCUAAGUGGCGCACGGGUGAGUAAUGUAUAGGUAAUAUGCCUCUUACUAAGGGAUAACAAUUGGAAACGAUUGCUAAUACCUUAUAUUCCUUUUUAUCAAAAGAUAAAAAGGGAAAGAUUUAUUGGUAAGAGAUUAGCCUGUAUUGUAUCAGUUAGUUGGUGGGGUAAUGGCCUACCAAGACGAUGACGCAUAACUGGUUUGAGAGGAUGAUCAGUCACACUGGAACUGAGACACGGUCCAGACUCCUACGGGCGGCAGCAGUGGGGAAUAUUGCACAAUGGACGAAAGUCUGAUGCAGCAACGCCGCGUGGAGGAUGACACAUUUCGGUGCGUAAACUCCUUUUAUAUGAGAAGAUAAUGACGGUAUUAUAUGAAUAAGCACCGGCUAACUCCGUGCCAGCCGCCGCCGUAA
rnacentral:rRNA from 1 species